rnacentral:rRNA from 1 species
AGAACGAACGCUGGCGGCAGGCUUAACACAUGCAAGUCGAGCGAGGACUUCGGUCCUAGCGGCGGACGGGUUAGUAACGCGUGGGAACGUGCCCCUUUCUUCGGAAUAGCCUCGGGAAACUGGGAGUAAUGCCGGAUACGCCGGGUCCUAGAGAUACGGUCCGGGAAAGAUUUAUCGGAGAGGGAUCGGCCCGCGUUGGAUUAGGUAGUUGGUGGGGUAAUGGCCUACCAAGCCGACGAUCCAUAGCUGGUUUGAGAGGAUGAUCAGCAACACUGGGACUGAGACACGGCCCAGACUCCUACGGGAGGCAGCAGUGGGGAAUCUUGGACAAUGGGGGCAACCCUGAUCCAGCCAUGCCGCGUGAGCGAUGAAGGCCUUAGGGUUGUAAAGCUCUUUCACCCGUGAAGAUAAUGACGGUAGCGGGAGAAGAAGCCCGGCUAACUCCGUGCCAGCAGCCGC